rnacentral:rRNA from 1 species
AUACGGGAGGCAGCAGUGGGGAAUAUUGGACAAUGGGGGAAACCCUGAUCCAGCGACGCCGCGUGUGUGAAGAAGGCCUGCGGGUUGUAAAGCACUUUUAGUGGGGAUGAAAAGUUCAGGGCUAACACCUCUAGAUCUUGACCUAACCCACAGAAAAAGCACCGGCUAACUCUGUGCCAGCAGCCGCGGUAAUACAGAGGGUGCAAGCGUUAAUCGGAAUUACUGGGCGUAAAGCGUGCGUAGACGGUUACAUAAGUCGGGUGUGAAAGCCCCGGGCUCAACCUGGGAAUUGCAUUCGAGACUGCGUAGCUAGGGUGCGGAAGAGGGAAGCGGAAUUUCCGGUGUAGCGGUGAAAUGCGUAGAUAUCGGAAGGAACACCAGUGGCGAAAGCGGCUUCCUGGUCCAGCACCGACGUUCAGGCACGAAAGCGUGGGGAGCAAACAGGAUUAGAUACCCCGGUAGUCCU